rnacentral:lncRNA from 1 species
CCACAGCAGCGAUCAGAGCUGCUGCAUCCAGCUGUGAGGCUGCAGAGCCAGAAACGCGUGCGACCUGAAAGGGAACACAUUUCUAGAGGGCCUCGGGCCAAGGUGGAGGUGAUGAGGGCAGGAUGCGGAGGCCAGCGGAGGACAAGUGCUGACUGGCAUGGGGAUGCUAUGGGUGGGGGGACGGUCAGGAAUUAGCAGCUGAUUUCAAGCGUUGGGAGGAGGUGCGGAGACAAGGAGGCAGCGGCUGGGGUGAUUCCAGAGUAAUUAGGGUGGAAAAUUCUGGAGCAUCCUCGCUGCUUCCCUCAGGACAGAGGCUGCGUGUUUCUCAGCUCUGUCCUGGCAGCGGCUGGCGGAGCAUGUGUGGGCUUCAUUGAAUACGCUGCCCGAGUGUCUUGCAGCUUUUCCCAGGCGUCUUCUGUGUCUCCUGGUCCCCACGGCUGCAACUUCGACAACUGAGUUCUCUUGCUCUGGCUGCAUUUCAGGACAAGAGCAUGCCUGCUUGAGGUGCCUAGAAUCCUGGCUGGACCCAAAACACUGCAGACUACUUGGUUUCUGUCCAAGGACAGCCCCAAUGGCCUGGACAGGGCUUAGCACAAUUCCUAAUGUACAUCAGACCCUAAAGGAAGUGUGUGCUGUGAGGACAGCCUGAUGAAAUCCUGGCACAGGAAGGAGAGGCAGUACAGGACUGUGGUUUCUGAGCCAAACUGGUGACACAAGACUCGAGCCCUGGUC